GCUAUCAAAUGAAAAUCCAUUAGGGUUUAGGCUUUUCCCUGUAUAUAAAUUUCAACUCUCCACUUCAUAUCUCUUUCCGUACUUCGGCAUCUUCCCCUUUCCCUCCAACUUUAAUCUACCACAACUGUAACGACGCCAUGGUUCACGUCAGUUUCUACCGUAACUAUGGGAAGACCUUUAAGAAGCCAAGGCGUCCAUAUGAGAAAGAACGAUUAGAUGCAGAGUUGAGGCUUGUAGGAGAGUAUGGGCUCCGAUGUAAGAGGGAGUUGUGGAGGGUUCAGUAUGCUUUGAGCCGUAUCCGUAAUGCUGCUAGGGACCUUCUCACCCUUGAUGAGAAGAACCCUCGUCGUAUUUUUGAAGGUGAAGCUCUUCUUCGUAGGAUGAACAGGUAUGGACUUUUGGAUGAGAGCCAGAACAAGCUUGAUUAUGUCUUGGCUUUGACUGUCGAGAACUUCCUUGAACGCCGCUUGCAAACACUUGUGUUCAAGACUGGUAUGGCCAAGUCUAUUCACCAUGCCCGUGUCUUGAUUAGGCAAAGGCAUAUCAGGGUCGGGAGGCAGGUUGUCAACAUCCCAUCCUUCAUGGUAAGGGUUGACUCGCAAAAACAUAUCGAUUUCUCUCUCACUAGUCCGUUUGGAGGUGGCCGACCUGGAAGAGUGAAGAGAAAGAACCAAAGAGCAGCUGCCAAAAAGGCUGCUGGCAGAGAUGGCGAUGAAGAGGAAGAUGAGUAAAACCUUAGAGGGCUACUACCACCCUUAGUUACCCUUAAAUAGUUUUGGAGCUUGCCAUUUCCUUCUCCCCAUUAUUAGAUAUGGCAAAAGCAACAGAUCAAAGAAAUACUAGUGCCAAUCUGCAGCUGACGAAUAAUUGAACUUGAAAAUUAAAUCACUUUUUUGAGUUUGGCAACUAUUAUCAUUUUGUCCAAGUUAAGCAUUAGAUUUGGCAAUUAUUUCUAUAUUGGGAUCUAAAUUUUUCUUGUCCAGUUAUGCUUAGAACGUGGCAAUUAUUCUCAUAUUGAGGCUUUAACUUUUUUUAUCCAAGUUGGUAUUUGAAUUUUCUUGAAAACCUUAAAAUUCAGGUCCUAAUGUGAGAAUAAUUGUCAAGUUUUACCACCAAUAUAGAAAUAAUUGUCUAGUUCAGAAACUAGUUUAGACAAAAAAAAGUUCAAGUUCUAAUGUGGAACAAUUGCUUAGUUUAGGUCCUUAUGUUGGACAAUUGCUAAGUUAGGUUAGGGUCUAACUAGGAUAAAAACAGUUUAGGCUCCAAUGUAAAAAUAAUUGUUCAGAUUUCAAAUAAUGAUUUAUUACAUUAAAGAAAACUUGAUAGAGCUUUUUGAGUA